GGCAACAGAUAGCUCUGCCCCAGCUCCGCACGACACUGUAACUGCUGCUGGGGUCUCCAUGCUGCAUAGUAACUUCCCUGUACUGUUUCCUACUGUAUAGAUCUGUUUGGGAGAAGUAAAAGGAGAGUUUAGACAUGCAUAACAGUUAGCCUGUUCCAAAUGUGGUUUAAACCCAAAGUGGACAGACUUACCUGCCAGUUAAACCAGUGUGAAGUUAGUGGGAAUGGUUCAGAAGUAUACCUGGAAAAAUCAGGUUUUCUUGUGACCUGUUGGAUUUUGAUUUGUUCCAUGUUACGUGCACAUGCUAAGUGUUCUGUGACAUGGCCCUCUGGGCAGCCUACAAUGCAACACUCUUCACCUCCCCCACUCCUGUAAGUGGCUGCUCUGGGACACAGGUUGAACUCUACUGCCCUUAGGGCCAGCGGUUCCAUUUGGUCUUUUUCCCCAUUUCAUGUCCCCUCCUUGGGAACAAGGGUGGGAACAUUACUGCUGCCAACACUCCACUGCUCAUGAAGGCACACUCCCGUUCCUUGGGCUGCUGCCUGGCAGCUUGUUGUGGUCGGCAGCUUGCCAUAGCACUUGCCAUAGUCAGUGACAAUUUCAGCACCGUUUCGAGGAACACCUGCUUCAACCCAUUUAGAUACCACAGUGUCUGCUCCAGCCUUAUGUCAGGCACGCCACCGGCCGAAGACAGGAAGAUUGGUUCUACCUGCUCACCAUUUGGAACAAUGAAGAAAGCUAGUGGGCACUUCAGUCAAGCCACCGUAAUCAGGCUGUGUAUGAGGGCAUUGUUGUGCAGAUGACAGCUUGGGGAGACUGCUAGGACUCGCUGCAGCACAAGGUCAAGACCACAACCUCCAAGUUGAGUUACAGGAGGGCAUAAGAUGCCAGUUGUGUUUCUGGCACCUGUCAGAUCACCACUACGUAUCACGAGGAGCUGCUGUGAACUCUGCUGGGGAAUAACUCCAUUCAGCCCUGUUACACCCUGGUUGUGCCCAACCACAUACACUCCAGUGCCAGCCAAGAUGAUGAUGAGAUGGAGAGAUGACCCCCGCCACUGGUCUGCCAUUACCAAGGGACCAGAGAAGCCAAGGUGCACAGCAGGAUUCACCCACACUACUUUUGGGUAAGGAAAUGGAACCCUACCUCACCCUUGCAUGGGACAGCGAGGACAAGAUCAACACAGAGUGGGCCUACUCCAUUCCCUCAGCAUCACCCUAAGACUUGGCAAAGUCUCCCCAGCACGCAGCUGCUUAUUGCUUUGCCAUCCCCUUCGUGCUCUGCAGCACAGCCUCAGCUCUCCCAUCCCCACAUACCUGCCACUCACAGGUUGGGAACAUCCUGCUGUUCACCAUGGGAUCUGUUCAGGACAAGAGACCACUCUUCUGCUCCUCUCCACCAGUCUCCUGGCAGGCAUGGCCAGCACUUACAGCCUCCCCUGGACCCAACAGCAGCCCAAGGCCGCAACACAAAAGGGUAGCCCAGCACUGGAGGCAGCCAGCUUAGAACAAAACUGAAGAUGUUAGCAGCCCUUGCCAACCUCCCAGCCGAGGGCUGCUGCUGUAGAUGAGUGGAGGGGGCUCGUGGAAUAAUUCCAGCAGCACUCUGCCCAGGGUGCUAAUUAAGGGGGAAUCUCAGCUGAGCACCUCCCCCAUAAAAGAUGAGAACCCCCCUGUAAGAUUUGAAAACCGUAACUCGGGUGGGUCUCCGAUCAGGUUGCUCCUUCACUUAGGUGGACUUGUUAAUCAACUGGUUUAAUUUUUUUGCAGAGCCCCCAUUUUCCCCCAAAGAGUGAAAGUGUAAUUCGAACCUUGACUGUGCCUGCCUGAUCCAGAGGCCCAGGCCAGGUGCAUGUCAGUGUUCCAAGCCCAGGGGCAUGUG